AGUGAACGCUGGCGGUAGGCCUAACACAUGCAAGUCGAACGGCAGCACAGAGGAGCUUUCUCCUUGGGUGGCGAAUGGCGGACGGGUGAGGAAUACAUCGGUAUCUAUUCUGUCGUGGGGGAUAAAGUAGGGAAACUUACGCGAAUACCGCAUACGAUCGACGGGUGACAGCAGGGAAUCUUCUGACCUUGCGCGAUUAAAUGAGCCGAUGUCGGAUUAGCUAGUUGGCGGGGUAAAGGGCCACCAAGGCUACGAUCCGUAGCUGGUCUGAGAGGAUGAUCAGCCACACUGGAACUGAGACACGGUCCAGACUCCUACGGGAGGCAGCAGUGGGGAAUAUUGGACAAUGGGCGCAAGCCUGAUCCAGCCAUACCGCGUGGGUGAAGAAGGCCUUCGGGUUGUAAAGCCCUUUUGUUGGGAAAGAAAUCCAUCUGGUUAAUACCCGGGUGGGAUGACGGUACCCAAAGAAUAAGCACCGGCUAACUUCGUGCCAGCAGCCGCAGUAA
rnacentral:rRNA from 1 species